GAGUUUGGGGUUAGUAGACGCAAACUAUUAAAUUCAGAAUGGAUAAGCAGUGAGGUUCUGCUGUACAGCACAGGGAACUCUAUCCAGUCUCUUGGUUUAGAAUAUGAUGGGGGAGAUCAAAAGACUGUAUUUGUGUUAGUGUGUGAGAGAGAGAGACUGGGUCACUUUGCUGUACAGAAAUUAGCACAGCAUUGUAAAUCAACUGUACUUUAAAUAAACUCUCUAAAUGCUAGUUUACAGAAAGGGAGAAGAGUAGAAUUUAAAUCAUUUCUUACUUUGUUUAUUUGGGUUUUUUUCUCUCCUCUUCUUGGUGAGUCUGGCCAGAGGUUUGUCCAUUUUGUUUACCUUUUCAAAAAACCAGCUCUUAGUUUUAUUGAUUUUUUUCUAUUUUCGAAUCUCUGUUUUAUUAAUUUCCUCUCUGAUCUUUAUAAUUUCCUUCCUUCUGCUGAUUUUGGUCUUGUUUGUUCUUUUUCUAAUUCAUUUAGGUGGUGAGUUAAGUUGUCAAUUUGAGAUUUUUCUUAUUUUGAGGAAGGCCUGUAUUGCUGUGAAUUUCCCACUGCUUUUGCGGCAUCCCAUAGAUUUUGAAUGGUUGUGUCUUCAUUUUUCAUUUGUCUCGGGGUAUUUUUUGAUUUCCUUCUCGAUUUCCUCAUUGACCCCUUGGUUUUUUAGUAGCAUGUUGUUUAGUCUCCAUGUAGUCAGUUUUUUUCUCCUUUUUUUUCCUGUGGUUGAUUUCUAGUUUCAUGCCAUUGUGGUCAGAGAAGAUAAUUGAAAUAAUUUCUGUACCCCUCAAUUUGUUGAAGUUAGUUUUGUGGCCCAGUAUGGGGUCAGUCCUUGAGAAUGUUCUGUGUGCACUUGAGUAUGUGUGUAUGUUCUGAUUUUUUUGGAUGUGAUAUCCUGAAAAUGUCAGUUAAGUCUAACUUUUCUAUUGUGUCAGAGAAUUUAAAUCAAAAUAGUGGAAGACAAAUAUUAAGAGACCGAGACCCAAAAGCAGCGCCUCAGUUACCCCCUGAGACUGGGGGUGAACAGUGGGAGUCAACGAGAGCAUGUGGGUGGCCCCAAGGAGCUGACCCCAAGCCAGGAGCCACGCUGGCUGUGUGCUAGACGGGGUGGCCAGGACGGCCUUGCUCGCCUCCUCUGCCUUCUCCAUCCCAGUCAGGGGGGUGGGCUAAGAAUAUGAGAAUGAGUUCGGCCAGCGCAUCUUCCAUCGAAAGCAUGCAGGGGCACUUGGGCCUAUGGGGUGACCAGGGAGACCGGGGUUGCAGUGGUGGGAACAGCCCUGCCGUCCACACUCACCUCCAUGUCAGAGGAAUCCUGCAUCACGAGAACUCUGUCCUGUUAGGCCUGCACACCAUCAGAGCACAGGAGAUAUUCAGCUGUGUUCUCUCAAUAGGCUGAUAACUAAUAAGAUAGAUACAAGGGUGCUUUUUAUUUUUCUAACCAGUGCUGCAGCAUUCAGAUUCAAACUGAGUUAACCAAAGGGAGAAAGAAAAAACAAAAUCUGUACCCUUGCCAUUAUCCCCAACCAACAGCUCAUAUAAAUUUUCAGGAUUCUAUUAUGUAUAUCUUCACGUGAAAACAUUUUCCAUAGUUGUAAUGAGAGCAUACAUACAAUUUUCAAACUGAUUUUCCAUUUACCAGCAUAACCACUUUAUGCUUCAUAGUUAACAUUUGCAUGACCUCAUGACAUUCCAUCCAGUUGAGCAAACGUUCCAGAAUUCACUUAACCAGUUUCCAUAUUCUUAGCCACAUGUGCUUUUUAAAAAUAAUACUGUACAGUUUGCCACAGGCGUACUUGCAUAUCUNCUGACUUUAUGCCAUCAACAGGGACUCCCUGUCACUCUGCCGCUUCUGGCAGGUGCCAGCUCCACGGCCAAGACCAGCACCAAGCGGCCUCCUUUCCACAGGCUCCAGUUUUCCCAGGGCCUCUCGCUGCGUUCCCAGAGCAGGGAACAGAGCAUUGCCCUCCCUGCUGGGAAUGACUCUUGCCUGGUCACUCGGGCCUCCAGGCCUGGGCCAUCUGCAGUGUUCCCUUCCUCGGUAUGGAUGUGUGCACUGGCCCCCAGGGUCCCCAGCAGCCCAGGCCCCGCUCCCCCUGGCUGCUCUCUCUCCCAAGGCGUUUGUCUGCACACCUCCAUGCCCACAUACAUGAGGCUCUGUCAGGCUGCAGCCCAGGGCGAUUCCACUUCUUUGAGGGACUGACUCUUUCCAAGGUCACCAGCCAUAUCCACUGCAGAAGUCAGUUACAUCUUUCAGGCCCUGUUCCUUUGAUCUCUGUGAGGCAUCGGACACCAGCCGUCUGGAAACUUUCUCUUGUCCUGGAUUCCACGUUCUUCCCACCCUUCUGACGCUUCUCUAUGGAUGUCAGUCGUCUUGUCUCCUCUGUCGCCCCAGCCCCUGACCAAUGGUGUUCCACCAAAUGGGACAGGGGGCACGUGAGUCAAUGCAGAGGGGCCUCCCCAUGCUCUCCAUGCUCUUACGGCAGCUCUAAAGUUACAAACCCAAGUGUGCCCGCUGCCCGGGCCUGUGAUGCCCCAGUCCCUGGUUUCAGUCUCCUUUUCAUUCCCCACACAUGACCCAUUAACAAGCCCAUCUGCUUCCAGGCUUCUAACCCUCCCUGUGCUAACAGCUGCCCAGUCUGUGCCUCCAGCAAGAUUUUCCCUUUGAGUCUGACUCUGGCCAUGACCGCCUGCUGGACGCCUCUAUCUGGAUGUCCUGCAGAAUCUCAGAUUCAGCAGGUACCCAGGAGAACCUUGUCCCCCUCCCCCAUCACAGGUUUACCCAGGGUCUCUGGGUGGUGACACCUCUCUCCAGCAUGUGGUCGAGCUCAAAAGCUGUCCACUGCUUCAGAUGCCUGGCCCAUCCCCCCUCUGUGGUCAUUCUCUCCCUGGGAGCUUGUCUGUCCUGCCCUGAGGCUCUCAGACCCCUCCUCUCCUGUCCAUCCUUCUUUGCUGCCUGAGUUCACAGCCCUUGUCAGUUCCUGCCAGGAGUAUUCCAAAUACCUGCAGGUAGCCUCCUUCCUGAGCCUGUCAUUCCCUACACAUCCCGAGUGGUGACAUGGUUGGUGUAAACAGGCAGGCUUGCUGGGUUCUGCGACAGUCCACUUCUUGUUCCCUGCACAGCUUUAGGCAGAUUUUUUUUUUCCCCAAUUUUCAGGGCCAUGCCUGUGGCCUAUGGAAGCUCCCAGGGUAGGGAUUGAAUCAGAGCUGCAGCAAUGGCCUACACCACAACCACAGCAAUAUGGGAUCCAAGCCGUGUCUGUGAACUACACCACAGCUCGUGGCAAUGCUGGAUCCUUAACCCACUGAGCAAGGCCAGGGAUUGAACCUGCAUCCUCAUGGAUGCUAGUUGGAUUCAUUUCUGCUGCACCUCGUGUUCACAGCAGCACUGUUCACUGUAACCAAAAGUGCUCACGGGCCAGUCAUCCACCAACAGGCGAAUGGGUAAGCCAGACAUCAUCCAUACAUACCAGGGAGUACUACUUAGCCUUAAAAAGGAAGGAGAGGAGUUCCUGUCGUGGCGCAGUGGUUAACGAAUCCGACUAGGAACCAUGAGGUUGCGGGUUCGGUCCCUGCCCUUGCUCAGUGGGUUAACGAUCCAGCAUUGCUGUGAGCUGUGGUGUAGGUUGCAGACGCAGCUUGGAUCCCACAUUACUGUGGCUCUGGCGUAGGCCAGUGGCUACAGCUCCGAUUGGACCCCUAGCCUGGGAACCUCCAUAUGCCGUGGGAGCGGCCCAAAGAAAUAGCAAAAAGACAC
rnacentral:lncRNA from 1 species